CCAGGCAUUCACAAUACAGCUGCUGACCAGUUAUCUAGUCUUCAGUUUCAUGCGUUCAGGAGGUCCCUAACAACUGCCUCACCUAUAGCCACGAUCACUCCCCAACUCUAAGAAUUACCUAUGGAAUAGAAGAGUGGCUAAGUCACAGCAAGAAUUCAUACAGUUGACCCUCAAAGAAUACGCACACUGCUAUGACAGAGUUUAC